rnacentral:rRNA from 1 species
GACGAACGCUGGCGGCGUGCUUAACACAUGCAAGUCGAACGGUGAAGCGCCUUCCUUUUUGGUGGGUGUGGAUGAGUGGCGAACGGGUGAGUAACACGUGAGUAACCUGCCCCCUUCUUCUGGAUAACCGCAUGAAAGUGUGGCUAAUACGGGAUAUUCUGGGUCUGUCGCAUGAUGGGUCUGGGAAAGAUAUUGUUUCGGUAGGGGAUGGGCUCGCGGCCUAUCAGCUUGUUGGUGGGGUGAUGGCCUACCAAGGCGGUGACGGGUAGCCGGCCUGAGAGGGUGGACGGUCACACUGGGACUGAGACACGGCCCAGACUCCUACGGGAGGCAGCAGUGGGGAAUAUUGCACAAUGGGCGCAAGCCUGAUGCAGCGACGCCGCGUGAGGGAUGGAGGCCUUCGGGUUGUGAACCUCUUUCGCCAGUGAAGCAGGCCUGCCUCGUUUGUGGGUGGGUUGACGGUAGCUGGAUAAGAAGCGCCGGCUAACUACGUG